UUCUUGAAGUAUAGUGAAAUACUAUAUGAAAAAUACAAUAAAUGGCAGUGCUUAUAGCUAUUCUGUAUUUAUGAUAGGUGUUUGUAUCGUCGGUAUAUUAUUCCUGAUUUAUAUUUCUAUAAUACAUAUGACUAACUCAUAUCAAACUAUAAUUGCUUAAACGGCGGAAGUGGGAUGUUUACUUCUACGAAAGGGGGAUGACUAAAUGAGAUUGUAAUACGUAUUACAGAUUAUAUAUUACUGGAAACAAAUUCAGGGAGUCAGGGAAAUCCCGACCAAAGAUGGAACGUGAAAAAGUUUACAUGUUGCAUAAGAGAGGAAGAGAUAAACUAGACUUAUUUUUAUAUAAGAUUUUUUACAAAAAUAAAUAACACUCUUUACUAAUACGAAUUUUACACUAUUUUUUAAUAUGAAGAUUUUUUAAUAUAAUUUAUUUUCUUUCUUAGAUAUGCAAGGCUUUAUUACUGUAUGACUAAUAUAUUAUUUCACCUAAUUUAUGUAUAACUACUGUAAAUCAUUGCCAGCAUAGCAAUUGUAUUCAAACAUUCAAAUCCGUCCAAUUUGCACAAACAAUAAAGAGACUAUGGAUCUAUUUAUUGGUGAGUUCUUGAACUACAAGGGACAAUUUCAAAAUCAUACAAUAUAAGAGUUCAUUAGUAAUACUUAAUUCAUCGACUCCACUAUAUAAAAAAAAACCAUUGCAUUGUGCUAUGUAAAAGAUCAUAAGUUAGUAUUUACAAAUAUAAAUCUAACUUCGACGAAAAAUUUACUUGUCAUUAGACUGUAUGUAAACUGUUAGUAUCGUA